CAAUUGCUUAUAACCUUUUGGUUAUAAAUAAUUGUUAGUGGCAGACGGGUGAGUAAUGCGUAGGAAUCUACCUAGUAGUAUGGAAUAGCCAUUAGAAAUGAUGGGUAAUACUGUAUAAUCCCUGCGGGGGAAAGAUUUAUCGCUAUUAGAUGAGCCUACGUUAGAUUAGCUAGUUGGUAAGGUAAUGGCUUACCAAGGCUAUGAUCUAUAGCUGGUCUGAGAGGACGAUCAGCCACACUGGAACUGAGAUACGGUCCAGACUCCUACGGGAGGCAGCAGUGGGGAAUAUUGGACAAUGGGUGAAAGCCUGAUCCAGCUAUGCCGCGUGAGUGAAGAAGGCCUUCGGGUUGUAAAACUCUUUCAAUAGGGAAGAUAAUGACGGUACCUAUA
rnacentral:rRNA from 1 species